ensembl:snoRNA SNORD24 Small nucleolar RNA SNORD24
UGCAGAUGAUGAUGAUGAAUAUUUGCUAUCUGAGUAUUAAUGAUGACUACUCACCACCAAGAUCGCUGAUGCA